rnacentral:rRNA from 1 species
GAGGAUUAUACUGUCUCCCCCCCUAAAUCAAUGAAACUGAUCCCCCCGUGAAGAAGCGGGGAUAAGUAUAUAAGACGAGAAGACCCUAUGGAGCUUUAAACUCAACACCACUUACCUCAACUGAUCCCCUUACAAACAGGUAAAGAUCGUGUAUGUUUUCAGUUGGGGUGACUGCGGAGCAAAAUAAAACCUCCACGAUGAAAAAUAACCUCUAAUCCAAGAACAACAUUUCAAAGAAUCAACAAAUUGACAUCAAUUGACCCAAAUAAUAAUUUGAUCAACGAACCAAGUUACCCUAGGGAUAACAGCGCAAUCCAUUUCAAGAGCUCAUAUCGACAAAUG